GACGAACGCUGGCGGCGUGCCUAAUACAUGCAAGUUGAGCGAUGAAGCUUGGUGCUUGCACCAAUUUGAAGAGCAGCGAACGGGUGAGUAACGCGUGGGGAAUCUGCCUUUGAGCGGGGGACAACAUUUGGAAACGAAUGCUAAUACCGCAUAACAACUUUAAACAUAAGUUUUAAGUUUGAAAGAUGCAAUUGCAUCACUCAAAGAUGAUCCCGCGUUGUAUUAGCUAGUUGGUGAGGUAAAGGCUCACCAAGGCGAUGAUACAUAGCCGACCUGAGAGGGUGCUCGGCCACAUUGGGACUGAGACACGGCCCAAACUCCUACGGGAGGCAGCAGUAGGGAAUCUUCGGCAAUGGACGAAAGUCUGACCGAGCAACGCCGCGUGAGUGAAGAAGGUUGUCGGAUCGUAAAACUCUGUUGGUAGAGAAGAACGUUGGUGAGAGUGGAAAGCUCAUCAAGUGACGGUAACUACCCAGAAAGGGACGGCUAACUACGUG
rnacentral:rRNA from 1 species